GAUGAACGCUGGCGGCGUGCCUAAUACAUGCAAGUCGAGCGAACAGACGAGGAGCUCGCUCCUCUGACGUUAGCGGCGGACGGGUGAGUAACACGUGGAUAACCUACCUAUAAGACUGGGAUAACUUCGGGAAACCGGAGCUAAUACCGGAUAAUAUAUUGAACCGCAUGGUUCAAUAGUGAAACACGGUUUUGCUGUCACUUAUAGAUGGAUCCGCGCCGCAUUAGCUAGUUGGUAAGGUAACGGCUUACCAAGGCGACGAUGCGUAGCCGACCUGAGAGGGUGAUCGGCCACACUGGAACUGAGACACGGUCCAGACUCCUACGGGAGGCAGCAGUAGGGAAUCUUCCGCAAUGGGCGAAAGCCUGACGGAGCAACGCCGCGUGAGUGAUGAAGGUCUUCGGAUCGUAAAACUCUGUUAGUAGGGAAGAACAAAUGUGUAAGUAACUAUGCACGUCUUGACGGUACCUAAUCAGAAAGCCACGGCUAACUACGUG
rnacentral:rRNA from 1 species